GGGUUUGAUUCUGGCUCAGGGUUAAUGCUAGCGGUGCGCCUAACACAUGCAAGUCGAGCGAGAAGCUUUUUAGCUUGCUAAAAAGUAGAAAGCGGCGAACGGGUGAGUAACAUGUUGAUAUCUGCCUUUAAGUCAGGGAUAGUCCAAGGAAACUUGGUUUAAUACCGGAUAGUCUCUUCGGAGUAAAGAUUUAUCGCUUAAAGAGGAGUCUACAUUCUAUCAGCUUGUUGGUGAGGUAAUAGCUCACCAAGGCUAUGACGGAUAACUGGUCUGAGAGGAUGAUCAGUCACAAUGGAACUGAGACACGGUCCAUACUUCUACGGGAGGCAGCAGUGAGGAAUCUUCCACAAUGGACGAAAGUCUGAUGGAGCGACACCGCGUGAAGGAUGAAGGUCUAACGAUUGUAAACUUCUUUUCUGAAGGAGCAUAAUGAGA
rnacentral:rRNA from 1 species